ACGGCUUCACAUACUGAUGGAUCCGGAGGGGAUUGAGCGAGCCUUCGGGGCGUGAGUACAGGUGGUGCAUGGUUGUCGUCAGCUCGUGUCGUGAGAUGUUGGGUUAAGUCCCGCAACGAGCGCAACCCUUGGCGUUAGUUGACAGCACAUAGAGGUGGUCACCCUAGCGAGACUGCCGGUGACAAAUCGGAGAAAGAUGGGGAUGACGUCAAAUCAUCAUGCCCCUUAUGUCCUGGGCUACACACGUACUACAAUGGCUACUACAGAGGGAAGCGAAGCUAAGAAGCGGAGCAAAUCCCAGAAAAGUAGUCUCAGUUCAGAUUGUGGGCUGCAACUCGCCCACAUGAAGUCGGAAUUGCUAGUAAUGGCAGGUCAGCAUACUGCCGUGAAUACGUUCCCGGGCCUUGUACACACCGCCCGUCACACCAUGAGAGUUGGCAACACCCGAAGUCAGUAGUCUAACCGCGAGGGGGACGCUGCCGAAGGUGGGGCUGAUGAUUGGGGUGAAGUCGUAACAAGGUAA
rnacentral:rRNA from 1 species